rnacentral:rRNA from 1 species
UACGUAGGGGGCAAGCGUUGUCCGGAUUUAUUGGGCGUAAAGAGCUCGUAGGCGGUUUGGCAAGUCAGAUGUGAAAUCUCCAGACUCAACCUGGAGGGGUCAUCUGAUACUGCCAUGACUAGAGGUCGGUAGGGGAGUGUGGAAUUCCUGGUGGAGCGGUGAAAUGCGCAGAUAUCAGGAGGAACACCCGUAGCGAAGGCGGCACUCUGGGCCGAUACUGACGCUGAGGAGCGAAAGCGUGGGGAGCGAACAGG